UACGGGGGGAGCAAGCGUUGUUCGGAUUUACUGGGCGUAAAGGGCGCGUAGGCGGCCAGCACAAGUCAGUUGUGAAAUCUCCGAGCUUAACUCGGAAAGGUCAACUGAUACUGUGCGGCUAGAGUGCAGAAGGGGCAACUGGAAUUCUUGGUGUAGCGGUGAAAUGCGUAGAUAUCAAGAGGAACACCUGCGGCGAAGGCGGGUUGCUGGGCUGAUACUGACGCUGAGGCGCGAAAGCUAGGGGAGCGAACGGG
rnacentral:rRNA from 1 species